rnacentral:lncRNA from 1 species
CUGAAGCACAAAUCAUGCAGAACAGGUUAUGCACUAAAGUUAAAGAUUUAAAACUAUUAAGCAUGAGCAAUCUGUAGUAGUUAUCCCGCCAAUGGCAAAUGCCAUUAAUAAGAUUAUGUGUAAACACGUAUGCUAUUUUUCCCCAAAAAAUUGUCUACUAUGGCAGUCAAUGGCAAAGACACUGCUGCAUGGUCAGCAUGUAAUCGUCUGAAAAAUGCUGAUUAAUAUAAUGUGUAUUUGUGUGCAUGCACAAUGAUGGAGGAACAGAUGGUGUUUGGUUGCUCCAUGCCAGCAAGCACCAAGCCCCGUCUGUGUGGGACAAAACAACAGGGAAAUGAGAUGGUGUGUACAGCAUGCACCUUGGAUAUGCAAUGGACAAUUUUAUAUCAGAGGAAGCCCAGGCCAUAGGUUUACAGUAACAAGUUUACAGGGACGACGGGUCAGAAAACUCUGGUGAAGGAGAGGUCACAAGGUCAAAACCGUAUGAGAAUUACCACACUAUAAUACGAUGUCUACUAACAGAGGAAAUUGCAGCUAGAAGGAAGGGAGGGAAAGGGAAAUCAAAUGUGGGCGUGUGUGUGACCCUUUUUUGUUUGGUUUGUUUGUUUAUAAGCACAGGCCAUUUCAGCCGUGUCCCGCAGGGGCAGAUCAUUUUGUUACACUAUGUGCUGGUUAUAGCAAUCACAGUAUUCAUGAAAAACUGAAGAUCAUAAGCCCCGUUAAGGUGUAGAAAUCUUUUGCAUUAAGUUUUAAUGGUGGUUACUUUGCCCAAAUAAAUGAAUGAAUGUAUUUUUUUUAAUUGCAUUGUAAAUGUGUAUGUAUAUACAGUACCAGUUGAAAGUUUCCUUGUGCGGACCUCAUUUGGGAGUCACACUCAGGGUCUUCAGGGGUCAUAAGUGACCGGACACCUAAAAUGUAACUUUUUUGCCCCCCAGUAAAAUCAGUGGAAUAUAUUUUUAUUCAAUAAUAUUUUUUCUUUUGUAUUUUGAGAAAAUUUUAAGGUAUUAAUUCAUAUUUAUGCAAUAAUUAUGAACAAUUUUUCUCAUAGAAAAUAGUACAUAAUUUUUUCUUCUAAUUUUUCUAAAUUAUUUUCGAAUUAAUGUUGUAUUUCAGAUUAAACCAGAGACUAGGCCUUUCAAAUACAUUUUUUUUGAAGAUUUUUUAGCGCCACCUGGUCAGAGCAAAGAAAGAAAAACAUGUAAGUGCAUGGUGCAACCACUUAUUACCAGUAUAGGAAUCUAUAGAGAGGCUUGUGAAUUCCCUUAUUGUUUUUAGACAUAAUUGCUUACUCAUAUUAAGUAGUGGACUUGAAUAUAUAUUAAUACAUUCUAAAGAGUACUUUUUGUAUAUUUUUUUAUAUUUCUUCUGUUAUAAAUAAUGAUUUCAUGCAUUAUUUGCAUUAAAGUUUUUGCAUUAUGAUUGCAAUCAAACCUGAACAUAUUGUUCAGUGGCACAGAGCUCCUGCAAAAAAAU